rnacentral:rRNA from 1 species
CACUCCUACGGGAGGCAGCAGUGGGGAAUCUUGCGCAAUGGGCGAAAGCCUGACGCAGCCAUGCCGCGUGAAUGAUGAAGGUCUUAGGAUUGUAAAAUUCUUUCACCGGGGACGAUAAUGACGGUACCCGGAGAAGAAGCCCCGGCUAACUUCGUGCCAGCAGCCGCGGUAAUACGAAGGGGGCUAGCGUUGCUCGGAAUUACUGGGCGUAAAGGGAGCGUAGGCGGACAUUUAAGUCAGGGGUGAAAUCCCGGGGCUCAACCUCGGAAUUGCCUUUGAUACUGGGUGUCUUGAGUAUGAGAGAGGUGUGUGGAACUCCGAGUGUAGAGGUGAAAUUCGUAGAUAUUCGGAAGAACACCAGUGGCGAAGGCGACACACUGGCUCAUUACUGACGCUGAGGCUCGAAAGCGUGGGGAGCAAACAGGAUUAGAAACCCCUGUAGUCCCAUGAU